GACGAACGCUGGCGGCGUGCUUAACACAUGCAAGUCGAACGAAGUGGCGAACGGGUGAGUGACGAGUAAUCAACCUGCCCUUCAGAGGGGGACGACAGUUGGAAACGACUGCUACUACCGCAUACUGAAGGAGGGGAUUGCGUCUGCUUUGCUAGUUGGAGGGGUCACGGCCCACCAAGGCGAUGAUCAGUAGCCGUGCUGAGAGUAUGAACGGCCACAACGGUAAUGAUACACGUCCCAGACUCCUACGGGAGGCAGCCGUGGGGAAUCUUCCGCGAUGGUCGAAAGUCUGACGGUGCAACGCCGCGGGGUUGAUGACGGUCUUCGGGAUGUAAAGCUCUGUUAAUCUGGACGCGGUACCGUAAUAGAAAGCCACGGCUAACUACGUGCCAGCAGCCGCCGUAAUAC
rnacentral:rRNA from 1 species